GGCCCGUAAUCCGGGUUGCGGACAGUGUCUGGUGGGUAGUUUGACUGGGGCGGUCUCCUCCUAAAGAGUAACGGAGGAGCACGAAGGUUGGCUAAUCCUGGUCGGACAUCAGGAGGUUAGUGCAAUGGCAUAAGCCAGCUUGACUGCGAGCGUGACGGCGCGAGCAGGUGCGAAAGCAGGUCAUAGUGAUCCGGUGGUUCUGAAUGGAAGGGCCAUCGCUCAACGGAUAAAAGGUACUCCGGGGAUAACAGGCUGAUACCGCCCAAGAGUUCAUAUCGACGGCGGUGUUUGGCACCUCGAUGUCGGCUCAUCACAUCCUGGGGCUGAAGUAGGUCCCAAGGGUAUGGCUGUUCGCCAUUUAAAGUGGUACGCGAGCUGGGUUUAGAACGUCGUGAGACAGUUCGGUCCCUAUCUGCCGUGGGCGCUGGAGAACUGAGGGGGGCUGCUCCUAGUACGAGAGGACCGGAGUGGACGCAUCACUGGUGUUCGGGUUGUCAUGCCAAUGGCACUGCCCGGUAGCUAAAUGCGGAAGAGAUAAGUGCUGAAAGCAUCUAAGCACGAAACUUGC
rnacentral:rRNA from 1 species